UACGUAGGGUGCGAGCGUUAAUCGGAAUUACUGGGCGUAAAGCGUGCGCAGGCGGUUUUGUAAGCCAGAUGUGAAAGCCCCGGGCUUAACCUGGGAAUGGCAUUUGGGGACUGCAAGGCUUGAGUGCGGCAGAGGAGACUGGAAUUCCUGGUGUAGCAGUGAAAUGCGUAGAUAUCAGGAGGAAUACCGAUGGCGAAGGCAAGUCUCUGGGCUGACACUGACGCUCAUGCACGAAAGCGUGGGGA
rnacentral:rRNA from 1 species